rnacentral:rRNA from 1 species
AGGGCACCACCAGGAGUGGAGCCUGCGGCUUAAUUUGACUCAACACGGGAAAUCUCACCAGGCCCGGACACUGGAAGGAUUGACAGAUUGAGAGCUCCUUCUUGAUUCAGUGGGUGGUGGUGCAUGGCCGUUCUUAGUUGGUGGAGCGAUUUGUCUGGUUAAUUCCGGUAACGAACGAGACUCUGGCCUACUAACUAGACGUUAGAUCCUUUAUGGGUUUGACGAUGCUUCUUAGAGGGACGGGCGGUUUUUAGCCGCACGAGAAUGAGCAAUAACAGGUCUGUGAUGCCCUUAGAUGUUCUGGGCUGCACGCGCGCUACACUGAAGAAAUCAGCGUGUGUUCCCUAUCCGAAAGGUUUGGGAAACCCGUUGAACCUUCUUCGUGAUGGGGAUUGGGGAUUGUAAUUAUUCCCCAUGAACGAGGAAUUCCCAGUAGGCGCGAGUCAUAAGCUUGCGUCGAUUACGUCCCUGCCCUUUGUACACACCGCCCGUCGCUACUACCGAUCGAGUGAUUUAGUG